rnacentral:rRNA from 2 species
AGCCGAGCGGUAGAGAUCUUUCGGGAUCUUGAGAGCGGCGUACGGGUGCGGAACACGUGUGCAACCUGCCUUUAUCUGGGGGAUAGCCUUUCGAAAGGAAGAUUAAUACCCCAUAAUAUACUGAAUGGCAUCAUUCGGUAUUGAAAACUCCGGUGGAUAGAGAUGGGCACGCGCAAGAUUAGAUAGUUGGUGAGGUAACGGCUCACCAAGUCUACGAUCUUUAGGGGGCCUGAGAGGGUGAUCCCCCACACUGGUACUGAGACACGGACCAGACUCCUACGGGAGGCAGCAGUGAGGAAUAUUGGACAAUGGGUGAGAGCCUGAUCCAGCCAUCCCGCGUGAAGGACGACGGCCCUAUGGGUUGUAAACUUCUUUUGUAUAGGGAUAAACCUACCCUCGUGAGGGUAGCUGAAGGUACUAUACGAAUAAGCACCGGCUAACUCCGUGCCAGCAGCCGCGGUAAUACGGAGGGUGCAAGCGUUAUCCGGAUUUAUUGGGUUUAAAGGGUCCGUAGGCGGAUCUGUAAGUCAGUGGUGAAAUCUCACAGCUUAACUGUGAAACUGCCAUUGAUACUGCAGGUCUUGAGUGUUGUUGAAGUAGCUGGAAUAAGUAGUGUAGCGGUGAAAUGCAUAGAUAUUACUUAGAACACCAAUUGCGAAGGCAGGUUACUAAGCAACAACUGACGCUGAUGGACGAAAGCGUGGGGAGCGAACAGGAUUAGAUACCCUGGUAGUCCACGCCGUAACGAUGCUAACUCGUUUUUGGAAUGUAAGUUUCAGAGACUAAGCGAAAGUGAUAAGUUAGCCACCUGGGGAGUACGAACGCAAGUUUGAAACUCAAAGGAAUUGACGGGGGCCCGCACAAGCGGUGGAUUAUGUGGUUUAAUUCGAUGAUACGCGAGGAACCUUACCAAGGCUUAAAUGGGAAAUGACAGGUUUAGAAAUAGACUUUUCUUCGGACAUUUUUCAAGGUGCUGCAUGGUUGUCGUCAGCUCGUGCCGUGAGGUGUUAGGUUAAGUCCUGCAACGAGCGCAACCCCUGUCACUAGUUGCCAUCAUUAAGUUGGGGACUCUAGUGAGACUGCCUACGCAAGUAGAGAGGAAGGUGGGGAUGACGUCAAAUCAUCACGGCCCUUACGCCUUGGGCCACACACGUAAUACAAUGGCCGGUACAGAGGGCAGCUACACUGCGAAGUGAUGCAAAUCUCGAAAGCCGGUCUCAGUUCGGAUUGGAGUCUGCAACUCGACUCUAUGAAGCUGGAAUCGCUAGUAAUCGCGCAUCAGCCAUGGCGCGGUGAAUACGUUCCCGGGCCUUGUACACACCGCCCGUCAAGCCAUGGAAGUCUGGGGUA